rnacentral:rRNA from 1 species
GUGGGGAAUUUUGGACAAUGGGCGCAAGCCUGAUCCAGCAAUGCCGCGUGCAGGAAGAAGGCCUUCGGGUUGUAAACUGCUUUUGUACGGAACGAAACGGUCCUGGCUAAUAUCCGGGGCUAAUGACGGUACCGUAAGAAUAAGCACCGGCUAACUACGUGCCAGCAGCCGCGGUAAUACGUAGGGUGCGAGCGUUAAUCGGAAUUACUGGGCGUAAAGCGUGCGCAGGCGGUGCUGUAAGACAGGCGUGAAAUCCCCGGGCUUAACCUGGGAAUUGCGCUUGUGACUGCAGUGCUGGAGUGCGGCAGAGGGGGAUGGAAUUCCGCGUGUAGCAGUGAAAUGCGUAGAUAUGCGGAGGAACACCGAUGGCGAAGGCAGUCCCCUGGGCCUGUACUGACGCUCAUGCACGAAAGCGUGGGGAGCAAACAGGAUUAGAAACCCGGGUAGUCC